rnacentral:rRNA from 1 species
CCCGCAACGAGCGCAACCCUUGCCAUUAGUUGCUACCAUUUAGUUGAGCACUCUAAUGGGACUGCCGGUGACAAACCGGAGGAAGGUGGGGAUGACGUCAAGUCCUCAUGGCCCUUAUGACCAGGGCUUCACACGUCAUACAAUGGUCGGUACAGAGGGUCGCGAAGCCGCGAGGUGGAGCCAAUCUCAUAAAACCGAUCGUAGUCCGGAUCGCACUCUGCAACUCGAGUGCGUGAAGUCGGAAUCGCUAGUAAUCGCGGAUCAGCAUGCCGCGGUGAAUACGUU